UACGUAGGUGGCAAGCGUUGUCCGGAUUUACUGGGUGUAAAGGGCGUGCAGCCGGGCUGACAAGUCAGAUGUGAAAUCCCGCGGCUCAACCGCGGAACUGCAUUGGGAACUACCGGGCUGGAGUGCCGGAGAGGUAGGCGGAAUUCCUAGUGUAGCGGUGAAAUGCGUAGAUAUUAGGAGGAACACCAGUGGCGAAGGCGGCCUACUGGACGGUGACUGACGCUGAGGCUCGAAAGCGUGGGGAGCAAACAGG
rnacentral:rRNA from 1 species